AUUGAACGCUGGCGGCAGGCCUAACACAUGCAAGUCGAGCGGAUGAAGGGAGCUUGCUCCUGGAUUCAGCGGCGGACGGGUGAGUAAUGCCUAGGAAUCUGCCUGGUAGUGGGGGAUAACGUCCGGAGACGGGCGCUAAUACCGCAUACGUCCUGAGGGAGAAAGUGGGGGAUCUUCGGACCUCACGCUAUCAGAUGAGCCUAGGUCGGAUUAGCUAGUUGGUGGGGUAAAGGCCUACCAAGGCGACGAUCCGUAACUGGUCUGAGAGGAUGAUCAGUCACACUGGAACUGAGACACGGUCCAGACUCCUACGGGAGGCAGCAGUGGGGAAUAUUGGACAAUGGGCAAAAGCCUGAUCCAGCCAUGCCGCGUGUGUGAAGAAGGUCUUCGGAUUGUAAAGCACUUUAAGUUGGGAGGAAGGGCAGUAAGUUAAUACCUUGCUGUUUUGACGUUACCAACAGAAUAAGCACCGGCUAACUUCGUG
rnacentral:rRNA from 1 species